rnacentral:rRNA from 1 species
UGGCCGUCCGAGUUGUAAUCUAGAGAAGUGUUACCCGCGUCGGACCGUGUACAAGUCUCCUGGAAUGGAGCGUCAUAGAGGGUGAGAAUCCCGUCUUUGACACGGACUACCGAGGCUUUGUGGUGCGCUCUCAAAGAGUCGAGUUGUUUGGGAAUGCAGCUCAAAAUGGGUGGUAAAUUCCAUCUAAAGCUAAAUAUUGGCGAGAGACCGAUAGCGAACAAGUACCGUGAGGGAAAGAUGAAAAGAACUUUGGAAAGAGAGUUAAACAGUACGUGAAAUUGCUGAAAGGGAAACGCUUGAAGUCAGUCGCGUCCUCCGGGAAUCAGCCUUCCUUCUGGUUGGUGUACUUCCUGGUGGACGGGCCAGCAUCAGUUUUGACCGGUGGAAAAAGUUCAAGGGAAUGUGGCACCUUCGGGUGUGUUAUAGCCCUCGUUCGUAUACAUCGGUUGGGACUGAGGAACUCAGCACGCCGCAAGGCCGGGAUUCGUCCACGUUCGUGCUUAGGAUGCUGGCAUAAUGGCUUUAAUCGACCCGUCUUGAAACACGGACCAAGGAGUCUAACAUGCCUGCGAGUGUUUGGGUGGAAAACCCGAGCGCGUAAUGAAAGUGAAAGUUGAGAUCCCUGUCAUGGGGAGCAUCGACGCCCGGACCAGACGUUCUCUGACGGUUCUGCGGUAGAGCAUGUAUGUUGGGACCCGAAAGAUGGUGAACUAUGCCUGAAUAGGGUGAAGCCAGAGGAAACUCUGGUGGAGGCUCGUAGC